rnacentral:rRNA from 1 species
UGCGGCUUAAUUUGACUCAACACGGGAAACCUCACCCGGCCCGGACACGGACAGGAUUGACAGAUUGAUAGCUCUUUCUCGAUUCCGUGGGUGGUGGUGCAUGGCCGUUCUUAGUUGGUGGAGCGAUUUGUCUGGUUAAUUCCGAUAACGAACGAGACUCUGGCAUGCUAACUAGUUACGCGACCCCCGAGCGGUCGGCGUCCCCCAACUUCUUAGAGGGACAAGUGGCGUUCAGCCACCCGAGAUUGAGCAAUAACAGGUCUGUGAUGCCCUUAGAUGUCCGGGGCUGCACGCGCGCUACACUGACUGGCUCAGCGUGUGCCUACCCUACGCCGGCAGGCGCGGGUAACCCGUUGAACCCCAUUCGUGAUGGGGAUCGGGGAUUGCAAUUAUUCCCCAUGAACGAGGAAUUCCCAGUAAGUGCGGGUCAUAAGCUUGCGUUGAUUAAGUCCCUGCCCUUUGUACACACCGCCCGUCGCUACUACCGAUUGGAUGGUUUAGUGAGGCCCUCGGAUCGGCCCCGCCGGGGUCGGCCCACGGCCCUGGCGGAGCGCUGAGAAGACGGUCGAACUUGACUAUCUAGAGGA